rnacentral:rRNA from 1 species
UGUUGUUUUUCCAAAAAUCAAUUACGAGUGGCUUGAUUUUGUGUUGUAUUGACCUUAUCAGCUUUCUGCACUUUUUUCGAGUCUUUCUUAAUGCACUUUUUGGUUAACAAGUCAACAUCAAUUUCUUUUGUUGUAAAAGAGUAUUCGGAAGGUGGCUUUCUUUUCGGAGAAAGUGUUUAUAGCCCUAUACUUCUACAAUCGGAGAGAUUGAGGUCUGCAGCGUAGAUCCUUCGGGGUUAGAUACAUUUGUGCUAAGUUGUAGCUUUUCAUAGACAACUUGUUGACUAUGUUUAGUCAUGCGGCUUACUCGCUUAUGCUAUUUUACCUAC